rnacentral:lncRNA from 1 species
AUCAAAAUAAAAAGUUAAACUUUUUGUCUGACCUAUUGAGGCAUCCCAUGGGACUUUUCAGUCACAUUGGGAUGACCCAUCUGGGACAAUCUAUUAUGGACGAGUUUGUAACAGCUAAUUUUCAGCUCAUUUUUGGUACAUUUAAUACGUAUUAAACACUCUUCAAUGGUUCUAAACCAACUCUAAGACAUUCUCAAGGGUGA